rnacentral:misc_RNA from 1 species
GUCACCCAGCAGGAGGGCGACGAGGCCGUCUACCCCUCCGACGGGCGCGGGCUCUCCCGCGGGGAGCUCUUCGAGCGGGACGAGCAGCUGCGCGUCGCGUUCGAGGAAUUGCCGGAACAGUAGCGGAGUUCACUUAAAAGCGGGGCCCGUUGCGGUGUGAUCCAGGCCGAUGUAAGCCACCGAAAGGGUGAGAACAGUGGCGCAGCAGGUGAACGAGACGAUCGAGGU